rnacentral:lncRNA from 1 species
GUGCACCCACUGAUCAGAGGAUUAACCAGCAGACAGUACGUCCUUGUUCCUGCCCAAUGUGUGGAUUGUUUUUAUACCUGUUUGCUUAUUGUCGAGGUCAACUUGUUUGUUGCUAAUACGAAUACGAGGGGUACUCGUAAACGCCGUAAUCAUCCUUGUUUCUAAAUACAACAUGUCCGGGGCACCUCUUUGGAGGGGUUAAAAACAUAUCUGUCAUUCCUUGGUACUGACCAUGUAACAUGCUUUCCAUUUCGGUGUUACCGGACUCCACGAGCUUUGCGGACCGGGCACAUCGACCGGUGCGAGCUCGGAAGCUGUUCCCUUUUUUCUUUGGCUGGUUACCUGCUCCCGUAGUUCCUUCUGCAUCACAAGGCACUUUUCUUUGAAUUCUUCUCUCUCUUGGUCCUGGACCUUUGUCAACUCUUCCAUGCGUUUCGUCGUUUGCUGUUCCCAUUCUUGCAUCUGUGCGACUUUCUCUUUUACUUCGUUUAACUGGUACGCCUGGUCAGACAACUCGCGUGACACUUGUCUAUAAACCUUUUCCAUAGACAGGCGAUCUUUUCGGUGUUUAUCGAUGGUCGCCUUCACUUUGUUAAUCUCAUCAUUAGCAGAGUUGAAUUUAACGAGCGCCUGGGCAAGUCUGUUUUCAAGCUGCGUAAGAUUCUUUUCUGCCUUGCGAGCGUUUGCGAUGCCAUCCGCUUUAUUAAACGAGUAUCUUAGUCGCUUAUCGUUGAACUCAUGCUGCGCCUUCCUCGAAUUCUCCCCCAGGUCAUGCAGUUUUCGUUUUUCCAUCUCAAGGCGCCGUGUUGUACGCUCGAUUUCCGCUUGUAAGCGUGCAACAUGUUCAUCCAGAUAUGUGGUAUGCGCCCCUCCACUGCCGACCAGGGGCCCAGCCGCCUGACCGCUAGGGCGACUUCCUCCAUUGGUGGCGGUAGGAGAGUGACUUCGAGAUGUUGUCAUUUUCCUGCAAUGAAGAUUCGCGAGAACCGCUCGCCUAAAGUCAGAAAAAGGAACAACCUCCCGUGGCUGUAGCCAAACCUUUGAUACGGCGGGAGAGGGGGAGGAUCGGGGAAAAGAAAGUGGCCG